UGAACUACAAGAGAAAAAGUACAGAAGGGUGGAGCAUUGGUAAUAUCUUGCUGGACUUUUCCGGAAGCAUAGGAAACUAUGGUCAAAUGGUUAUACAAUCCAUAGAUCAAGGUUCUUGGGCAAACUUUUCUGGAGAUAUAGGAAAACUAAUGAUCUCUCUGGUUUCUGUUUUCUAUAACAUUCUGUUCAUGAUUCAACAUUAUAUAUUAUAUCGACACAAAAAAGUCUCAAACUCGGAGAACCCAUCUGAAGUUGAGAUCAACAAGUCUUCUAACGUACCAGUGGUGCAGAUU